UACGAAGGGGGCUAGCGUUGUUCGGAUUUACUGGGCGUAAAGCGCACGUAGGCGGACUCUUAAGUCGGUGGUGAAAUCCUGGAGCUCAACUCCAGAACUGCCUUACGAUACUGGGAGUCUCGAGUCCGGGAGAGGUGAGUGGAACUGCGAGUGUAGAGGUGAAAUUCGUAAGAUAUUCGCAAGAACACCAGUGGCGAAGGCGGCUCACUGGCCCGGUACUGACGCUGAGGAGCGAAAGCCGUGGGGAGCGAACAGG
rnacentral:rRNA from 1 species